GACUACUCUGUUCGGAGCAGGAAGAGUUGGCGUUGGUUUAUUGUGACGUCCCCAGAGUGAAGCCUCCACCACACAGCCAGGCUGAGCACACCUAGCCUGUAUCAACAGUGGAGAAACAGAUCUGCCUUCUUACUGUUCCAAUGGAUUAGUGUUGAGACUGCCCAGGCUGUAGAUAUCGAACUUAUACAGGUAACUUAUACAGGUAUCCUGACAAAGCACUGGAAAUACUUUAGCAAUUUUGGUAUCAAUACUGUUUUUGAAAGACACUUGUUGUCUCCCCAAUUGUGCUAAAAUGUACUAAAAAGCAGCGCAGAAACGUAGAUGCAUUCAGACUGAACACCCAUCAAAUCAGCUGUGACUGAAGUGGCUUACAAACAAUUUUGGAGCUUAGCAUUGAGCAAUCUUAACAUCUCUUGUCACGCUGAUUUAAAAUGCUUUGGGGGCUGAGCUAAUUCCGGUUCGAUCCUAUCUGAGGAAAUCCAUCGCAGACCAGUUGAGGAAACAAGAAGGAGGAAUCACAUCAUCUGAGGAAAUACGUUCAACAGGAUCAUGCCUACAGGGAAGGGGAAAGAAACACCAGAUCUUUUGUGUCUCUUCAACUCAUUUGGAACGUAGAAGGACUGUGCUUUGUGUCAUUGUAACAGAGUAACUUCACCUUAAUGCUUUUAAGGUCCAUGUAAUAUUUAACUUUCUAAAAUACAUUCUAGUAGUUGACAUUAU